AGUAAUUAACAAUUAGAAAUGGUCGCGUGAUUAAUUGAUCAUUAAUAUGUUGAAAGAAAAGUGAUCAGGUGAUUUGAAGCGUGUCAGCUUGGUCUGUGUGAGAUAUAACGUCCGCUUCCAUACAAGGUGUUAUCUCUAAUGUGAAGUCUAGCUGUCAGUCUUGAUUAAACCUUGCCAGUCGACUGACUGAUCUGUCAUCAUAUUACUUCGCGUGAACAGUCACAGCCAAGUUGUCUGUCUCUUCUACCAAUAUUUCAAGUGGUAUUUAAACCCGGUUGCGGAAUUUUAUGUCAUCAUUUGCUGUAUUUACAUCUAGUAAUUGUAGUAAUAGAAAGAUUGUGCCGCUUUUUGUCAGCAAACAGUCGAGAAAAGCCACCAUAAUUACUGGAUUUUAUCAUUUUACCGUAAAUUAAAAAAUGGACGGAUUUUCUUCGAUGUCACCUUUGUUAUCCAAAUGUGAAAAAUUUGAUUAUUCUGAUUCUGAAGAUUCUGUGACAUCAUCAGGUUAUGACUCGGCAGUUUUAAGUGUUGGAAAUUGGAGUGAUUCCGAAAUCGAGUCCGAAGAUGAAGAAGCUUUUAACUCCGAUGAUAUGGCGGAUAUGAUGAUUUUUGAAAACACCAAGCCUAUAACUAAUACAAUGGAGUACAUACUAUCAAUGCCAUCAUUAUGUGAUGUUGUUUUUAUGGUGGGAGAGGAUGAGUCCAUAAUACGAGGACUAAAAGCCGUACUUGCUUCAAGGAACAGAAUAUUUUACGACAUGUUGAUGAAGAAGGACGAGAUUGAAUCGCAAGAGACCGCUGAAUCGACGAAAAGAUCCAAAACAUCCCGAUUUCUCAAAUUUAAAAAGAAGUCCCGAAAAUCCCACCAGGAUAUUGAGAAGAAACUAACUGUGGUGAUAAAGGAUUACGAUUUUAAUGUUUUCAGCAGAUUGAUAUCGUUUUUACAUCUUGGUCAAGUUUCUGUUACACCAGACACAGUUGUAGGUUUGAUGUGUGCUGCAGAUGAAUUUAAUAUACCAGAACUUCAGAAGGCAUGUUGGGAUUUCUGUUUUCGUUGUCUGGAUAACGGUAAUAUAGCCACCAUCGUCCAGUCGUCACAAUUUUACAGAGGAAGACUGGCCGCUGACGAUCUCAUGUUUAAGUUAGUUGGUAUGAUGGGAGGACCAAAGACUACAAGUGUGUGAAGUGAAGCAUUGAAGAUUUAGGAUAAAGCUUACACCGUGGAUGAACGUAAGACCACGUGGAAAUCCGUCACAAUGAUUCUAUAUUUUUGAAACAGACUGUUUUACAUAAAAGGAUAUGGUGGGUUUUCUGUCGUUACACAAUAAGCAAGGAAAAGUAUAAUUGUGUGCGAAGCACGCGUCUUUUAAGGUAUAGACUUAAAGGGAGGCAACUCUAUCUCCUCUCGGACGCUGACGUGCUUUGAAAAGCGAUGUUUAAUGAAGAACCGAGACUGCAUGAGUAUGGAAUACGGACAAAAAUGUUUAAUCUUCAUUUACUUGUAUAAACAAUAUUUUAUUUACCCCCACGUUCCCUCACCCCCACCCCAGAUGUUAUCGUAUGUAGAUGAUGUAAAAUGGUGUGCAUAUAUAGUGCUAUUAUUGUAUGUAAAUAAUGUAUUUAGACAAAGAGCAUCAUUUGUGCUUUUUGAGAUCAAUAAUGUUAUUAUUUGUGUU